CCUGCGGAAGGAUCAUUAGUGAAUAUAGGACGUCCAACUUAACUUGGAGUCCGAACUCUCACUUUCUAACCCUGUGCACUUGUUUGGGAUAGUAACUCUCGCAAGAGAGCGAACUCCUAUUCACUUAUAAACACAAAGUCUAUGAAUGUAUUAAAUUUUAUAACAAAAUAAAACUUUCAACAACGGAUCUCUUGGCUCUCGCAUCGAUGAAGAACGCAGCGAAAUGCGAUAAGUAAUGUGAAUUGCAGAAUUCAGUGAAUCAUCGAAUCUUUGAACGCACCUUGCGCUCCAUGGUAUUCCGUGGAGCAUGCCUGUUUGAGUGUCAUGAAUACUUCAACCCUCCUCUUUCUUAAUGAUUGAAGAGGUGUUUGGUUUCUGAGCGCUGCUGGCCUUUACGGUCUAGCUCGUUCGUAAUGCAUUAGCAUCCGCAAUCGAACUUCGGAUUGACUUGGCGUAAUAGACUAUUCGCUGAGGAAUUCUAGUCUUCGGAUUAGAGCCGGGUUGGGUUAAAGGAAGCUUCUAAUCAGAAUGUCUACAUUUUAAGAUUAGAUCUCAAAUCAGGUAGGACUACCCGCUGAACUUAAGCAUAUCAAUAAG
rnacentral:rRNA from 1 species